CUGCAGAUUAGGGUGACCAGAUGCCCCGAUAUUAGGGACUUUGUCUUACAUAGACACCUAUACCCUCCCCACCCCUGAAAAAAAAGUGUCCCAAUUUUUCAUAUUUGCUAUCUGGUCACCCUAUGUUCUGCAGAGUUAGGC